rnacentral:rRNA from 1 species
UACGAAGGGGGCUAGCGUUGCUCGGAAUUACUGGGCGUAAAGCGCACGUAGGCGGUCUUUUAAGUCGGGGGUGAAAUCCUGGAGCUCAACUCCAGAACUGCCUUCGAUACUGGAAGACUUGAGUCCGGGAGAGGUGAGUGGAACUGCGAGUGUAGAGGUGAAAUUCGUAGAUAUUCGCAAGAACACCAGUGGCGAAGGCGAGUCUCUGGACAUUUCCUGACGCUGAGGCACGAAAGCCAGGGGAGCAAACGGG